rnacentral:rRNA from 1 species
CCUACGGGGGGCAGCAGUAGGGAAUAUUGCUCAAUGGGGGAAACCCUGAAGCAGCAACGCCGCGUGGAGGAUGAAGGUUUUCGGAUUGUAAACUGCUUUUAUAAGCGAGAAAUAUGAUGGUAACUUAUGAAUAAGGAUCGGCUAACUACGUGCCAGCAGCCGCGGUCAUACGUAGGAUCCGAGCAUUAUCCGGAGUGACUGGGUGUAAAGAGUUGCGUAGGUGGCAUAAUAAGUAGCUAGUGAAAUCUGGUGGCUCAACCAUUCAGACUAUUAGCUAAACUGUUAAGCUCGAGACCGUUAGGGGUAACUGGAAUUUCUAGUGUAGGAGUGAAAUCCGUAGAUAUUAGAAGGAACACCAAUAGCGUAGGCAGGUUACUGGGACGGUUCUGACACUAAGGCACGAAAGCGUAGGGAGCAAACGGGAUUAGAUACCCGGGUAGUC